ensembl:lncRNA
UAGGAAUGCAAUAUUGUGAAUUACUUAUGCUUUUAGAUAUCCAUAGCUUUAGAUGCUUAUCUUUUACAUUAUUGUUAUUGAAAGAGUAAUUUUACAAUGUGAUUUCCUCAUUCGAACAUGUUUUUUUUGUUGUUGUUGUUUUUUUAUAGUGUAAAGCACAUAGACUGACCCAGGCUCUGUUUGUGUGGCAGAUGAAGACAUUUCAGGCCAGCUGCAUGGAGGCCCAAAUUUGUAAGAUCAUGUGGAAGUUUUGGAAAGACUUGAGAAUGCAACAGAAACUGUCACACAUCGCUCAUUAAACACUCAAUUAGAUCUGUGCUGCAACACAACACCUGUAAACUGUUGCCAUGGAUACAGGGCCACCAAGUGUCUGUCAGGUGUCACGGACAGCAACCAGGUGUGACCUCUCGGCAAGCAUCUGACUAUGGAGGGUUCCACACGAGCAGCCUCAGCCAGAGCAAACAACAUCUGACAGGAACAGGCAGAGGAAGUAGGCCAGAGGUGAUGACGUCUGUGAAGAUAAACUAUGCUCUUCAGGAUGGAUAUGGUUAUGGUUCUUUUAAUGGUUAAUGGUUCUUCUUUUAUACUACUUCUUAUUGCCAGAGACAUUGUAAAAAGGACCUGAAAUGACAGGAAGUAGUGGUGUAAAGGGGACAAGUUGUGAGCCAGGUUUGAACUGGCAUUUGCCAUAUGAGCACAACAGUUUUUUGAGCAUACUGUAUAUUGAUUAUGUUUUGCAUAACUACUGUACAUGUUGUACAUAGUAUUAAAGGAGUAGUUCACCCAAAAAUGAAGAUGUGCUGAAAAUGUACUCGCCCUCAGGCCAUCCAAGAUGUAGAUGAGAUUGUUUCUUCAUUGGAACAAAUUUGGAGAAAUUUUGCACUACAUAACUUGUUCACUAAUUGAUUCUCUGGAGUAAAUGGAUCCUGUCAGAAUGAGAGUCCAAACAGCUGAUAAAACAAUAAUCCACACCACCACAGUCCAUCAAUAAACGUCUUGUGAAGUGAAAAACUUAAUGUUUU